AUUGAACGCUGGCGGCAGGCUUAACACAUGCAAGUCGAGCGGGGGAAGGUAGCUUGCUACCGGACCUAGCGGCGGACGGGUGAGUAAUGCUUAGGAAUCUGCCUAUUAGUGGGGGACAACAUCUCGAAAGGGAUGCUAAUACCGCAUACGUCCUACGGGAGAAAGCAGGGGAUCUUCGGACCUUGCGCUAAUAGAUGAGCCUAAGUCAGAUUAGCUAGUUGGUGGGGUAAAGGCCUACCAAGGCGACGAUCUGUAGCGGGUCUGAGAGGAUGAUCGGCCACACUGGGACUGGGACACGGCCCAGACUCCUACGGGAGGUAGCAGUGGGGAAUAUUGGACAAUGGGGGGAACCCUGAUCCAGCCAUGCCGCGUGUGUGAAGAAGGCCUUAUGGUUGUAAAGCACUUUAAGCGAGGAGGAGGCUACUUUAGUUAAUACCUAGAGAUAGUGGACGUUACUCGCAGAAUGAGCACCGGCUAACUCUGUGCCAGCCGCCGCAGUAA
rnacentral:rRNA from 1 species